CCCGCUGAACUUAAGCAUAUCAAUAAGCGGAGGAAAAGAAACCAACAGGGAUUGCCUUAGUAACGGCGAGUGAAGCGGCAAAAGCUCAAAUUUGAAAUCUGGCUUCCUAUAUUGGGGCCCGAGUUGUAAUUUGGAGAGGAUGCUUUGGGUGUGGUCGCGGUCUAAGUCCCCUGGAACGGGGCAUCAUAGAGGGUGAGAAUCCCGUCUGGGACCGCUGGCCCCGCCCGUGUAAAGCUCCUUCGACGAGUCGAGUUGUUUGGGAAUGCAGCUCUAAAUGGGUGGUAAAUUUCAUCUAAAGCUAAAUAUUGGCCGGAGACCGAUAGCGCACAAGUAGAGUGAUCGAAAGAUGAAAAGCACUUCGAAAAGAGAGUUAAACAGCAUGUGAAAUUGUUGAAAGGGAAGCGCUUGCGACCAGACUCGUCCGCGGAGGCUCAGCCGCCAUGCUUUGGCGGUGCACUCCUUCGUGGUCGGGCCAGCGUCGGUUCUGACGGUUGGUUAAAGACUCUCGGAAUGUGUCGUCUCUCGGGGCGUCUUAUAGCCGGGGGUGCAAUGCGGCCUGUCGGGACCGAGGAACGCGCUUCGGCACGGACGCUGGCGUAAUGGUCGUAAGCGACCCGUCUUGAAACACGG
rnacentral:rRNA from 1 species